rnacentral:rRNA from 1 species
GACGAACGCUGGCGGCGUGCCUAAUACAUGCAAGUAGAACGCUGAAGGAGGAGCUUGCUCUUCUGGAUGAGUUGCGAACGGGUGAGUAACGCGUAGGUAACCUGCCUGGUAGCGGGGGAUAACUAUUGGAAACGAUAGCUAAUACCGCAUAAGAGUAGAUGUUGCAUGACAUUUGCUUAAAAGGUGCAAUUGCAUCACUACCAGAUGGACCUGCGUUGUAUUAGCUAGUUGGUGGGGUAACGGCUCACCAAGGCGACGAUACAUAGCCGACCUGAGAGGGGGAUCGGCCACACUGGGAAAGAGACACGGCACAGACUCCUACGGGAGGAAGCAGUAGGGAAUCUGCGGCAAUGGACGGAAGUCUGACCGAGCAACGCCGCGUGAGUGAAGAAGGUUUUCGGAUCGUAAAGCUCUGUUGUAAGGGAAGAAAGAGUGUGAGAGUGGAAAGUUCACACUGUGACGGUAUCUUACCAGAAAGGGACGGCUAACUACGUG